AUUGAACGCUGGCGGCAGGCUUAACACAUGCAAGUCGAGCGGAGAUGAGGUGCUUGCACCUUAUCUUAGCGGCGGACGGGUGAGUAAUGCUUAGGAAUCUGCCUAUUAGUGGGGGACAACAUUCCGAAAGGAAUGCUAAUACCGCAUACGUCCUACGGGAGAAAGCAGGGGAUCUUCGGACCUUGCGCUAAUAGAUGAGCCUAAGUCGGAUUAGCUAGUUGGUGGGGUAAAGGCCUACCAAGGCGACGAUCUGUAGCGGGUCUGAGAGGAUGAUCCGCCACACUGGGACUGGGACACGGCCCAGACUCCUACGGGAGGCAGCAGUGGGGAAUAUUGGACAAUGGGGGAAACCCUGAUCCAGCCAUGCCGCGUGUGUGAAGAAGGCCUUAUGGUUGUAAAGCACUUUAAGCGAGGAGGAGGCUACUGAGACUAAUACUCUUGGAUAGUGGACGUUACUCGCAGAAUAAGCACCGGCUAACUCUGUGCCAGCCGCCGCGGUAA
rnacentral:rRNA from 1 species